GGUUCCUCGUUGGAGAAGCAGGGCACGUGCAAACCCUUUCAGCUAAUACUUAGCCGAUAAGCCCUUGCACGUGCUCCCCUUCUCCAACAUGGGUUC
rnacentral:pre_miRNA from 1 species